GGACCACUGUGACCGGGUACCAGCUGCCACAUUUUGCGGCACUGGCCUGUCGGCAAACCGCCGGGGCCACAUUUUAACAGGUCCAUUGGGUUGCCCAUGCUGUCAGGGCCACCUGAUGGAUAUGGAUUGUGAGAGGGCCCGGUCAGCGCUGGGUGCUUUAACAGUGCGACCGAGCCCCCUAUGAUGACAUCACAGAGCUGGGAGGAAGUGACUCCCGGUCACUCCUACCAGCUAUCAGCCCACGCGGGAGGAAGCAGGAAGGAGGAGGGAGUCAGAGUGGGAACUCUGACUCCCAUCAGGCUGAGCC